CAGAGACAGGCGCUACACAGGGCACAGACACUAUACCAGAGAUAGGCACUACACAGGGCAUUGACACUAUAACAGAGACAGUCAGGACAGACAAAACAUGCUCUGUACAGGGCACAGGUUACAUGCAAGACAAUCACUACUCACAAAACAUAUUUUCAACUUCGUUACGAGAACUGUCAAAAUCAAAUCAGAUAGAAGUACUGACAAAUGAAGGGUAGUUGUCACUGUUGUAUUAUCCUAGUUAUGGCUUCUGCUGUUUGUGUAGGACAGCUAAUUACUGCAAAUAGUUGCCAAUAUCUCUGUCCCUCAUCCUACAUGCACAACUGGCACCUUAGUCAGAUCAGCGUGGUUGCCUGGCAACAGCACCUGUGUUCAGCAUGAAGAGCUACUUAGUAUACCAGGCAUCAUGUCUCCGCCAUUGACAGCUGUACAUAAGUAGAUCCAGUUCUGUAAUUCACAGUAGACAGUAUAUUAAAUGUUUACAUGGUACACUGUGCUUUAAUACAAACACAGCUUCUAUGAAAGCUUGCAAUAACAGCAGGCUUUGAAUCUGAUAUAUUACAUUUGUUUCUCUUGUACUCAUUUUAUUACUGUCCACAAAUUAAACUAAUAUAAUUGUAAAAUAUUAGAUCACAGAAUUCAUGGGAAAAUAUACCAAUCACUGAUUAUAUACUGAUGGAAACUAAUAAGGUAGCACAUGAGAAUACAAGUGUUCCUAAAUCCUUUUCUUUGCUUAUUUUGUGCACUUUGGGUAAAACUCUGGGAAUAAAUAAAGGAACACUUGUACUUUCAUGUGUUCCCUUACUUGUUUCCAUCAGUAUAUCAUGUAAUUCUCUAUAUCUCCAGGACUUUGAGUAAACCUACACUAACCCUUGCAUUGCGGUAAACCAAGACAUAAGCUGAAGGUAGUUUUACCAAAAUGGGAGCCCUGAAGAUAUGGAGGAGGAUCAGUUACUAAUAUUUUGUACAGUGCAUGAGCCAGAAGAGGCAGCACAAACUGUCCAUGGCUGAUUAUAGUGUUAAGGAAUCUGGAGCUCUGAAGGAAAA